AUUUUAAUCAUUUUUGAAUGUAUCAUUCUAUGGCAGAAAGUACAUUCACAUUAUUCUGCAGCCCUCAGUACCACUCAUGUCCAGAACUUUGUUGUCUUUACAAACUGAAAUUCUGUUCCCACAAACAGGUGAAAAGACAUUAUUUUGGCUGCGCCUUCAUUUCUGGCUUUUCCUGGGCACCUGGUCUGCCGUGUUUCAGGAGCUCAGGUUCUGACUUGGGCUGUGGACCCUGGGCCUCUGCAGGUCUGUGACGGUGCUGAGAUGUCUCCAGUGAAAACGGCGAGUGAUAGAAGCGAGUCAGCAAGUGUGUUUUCUGGAUGGACCAAGACCCAACAGGUUGAAACAGUGCUCCUUCUGUUGAAUCAGCCUGUGAUCACACAAGCGAGGAACCCGGGAAACGAGCAGUGCCCAGCUCCCUCGGCUGCGGCAGCGCCGGAGGGCCCGUGGCUCCAGGUGCUCUUUGUUAAUCACGCGACAAGCAGGCAUUCUCACGCUGUUCCCGCGGGUGGGGAUCAGAGCCGAUUUAAUCUUAUCUUCCCUAAUCUGAGUUGACAGCUGUGUGACGCGGGCCCUCCUCCUUGGCAGAUCUUAGAAGUGUUUGAGAGUGCACAACAUAUAUAUUUUGUGCUCUGGGGCCUUUGCUUUGUCAACAUAGAUUUGUGUUUUGAAAGGAAAAAGUAAAGUCGUGCUUAUUACAGGAAACCUGAGACAUGACUGUACAAAGAAAACCCCAAGGAAUAUAAAAAGAGGCUACUCGAACUAAUAAGUGAGUUUAGCAAGGUAACAGGAUACAAGACCCAUGUACACACGUCAGUUAUAUUUUCAAUUAAAAAUUUUUAUUACUCAUUUAUAAAAAAUGGUGGUAAAAUACACAUAACAAAAGUUACCAUUUUAACCAUUUUAGGUGUGUCGUUCAGGGGCAUUGAGUCCACCUCG